AGAGUUUGAUCAUGGCUCAGGACGAACGCUGGCGGCGUGCUUAACACAUGCAAGUCGAGCGGAAAGGCCCUUCGGGGUACUCGAGCGGCGAACGGGUGAGUAACACGUGAGCAACCUGCCCUUAGCUCCGGGAUAGUUCCGGGAAACCGGAAUUAAUACCGGAUACGACCACGAUUGACAUCGGCUGUGGUGGAAAGGAUUUCCGGCUAAGGAUGGGCUCGCGGCCUAUCAGCUAGUUGGUGGGGUAACGGCCCACCAAGGCGACGACGGGUAGCCGGCCUGAGAGGGCGACCGGCCACACUGGGACUGAGACACGGCCCAGACUCCUACGGGAGGCAGCAGUGGGGAAUAUUGCGCAAUGGGCGAAAGCCUGACGCAGCGACGCCGCGUGGGGGAUGAAGGCCUUCGGGUUGUAAACCCCUUUCAGCAGGGACGAAGCGCAAGUGACGGUACCUGCAGAAGAAGCGCCGGCUAACUACGUGCCAGCAGCCGCGGUAAUACGUAGGGCGCAAGCGUUGUCCGGAAUUAUUGGGCGUAAAGAGCUCGUAGGCGGUCUGUUACGUCCGCUGUGAAAACCCGGGGCUUAACCCCGGGCUUGCAGUGGAUACGGGUAGACUAGAGGCAGGUAGGGGAGAAUGGAAUUCCCGGUGUAGCGGUGAAAUGCGCAGAUAUCGGGAGGAACACCGGUGGCGAAGGCGGUUCUCUGGGCCUGACCUGACGCUGAGGAGCGAAAGCGUGGGGAGCGAACAGGAUUAGAUACCCCGGUAGUCC
rnacentral:rRNA from 1 species